AGCGAACGCUGGCGGCAGGCUUAACACAUGCAAGUCGAGCGGGCAUCCUUGUGGUGUCCGCGGCAGACGGGUGAGUAACGCGUGGGAACGUGCCCUUCGGUUCGGAAUAACUCAGGGAAACUUGAGCUAAUACCGGAUACGUGCGAGAGCAGAAAGGUUUAUCUGCCGAAGGAUCGGCCCGCGUCUGAUUAGCUAGGUGGUGAGGUUACGGCUCACCAAGGCGACGAUCAGUAGCUGGUCUGAGAGGAUGGUCAGCCACACUGGGACUGAGACACGGCCCAGACUCCUACGGGAGGCAGCAGUGGGGAAUAUUGGACAAUGGGGGCAACCCUGAUCCAGCCAUGCCGCGUGAGUGAUGACGGCCUUAGGGUUGUAAAGCUCUUUUCUCCGGGACGAUAAUGACGGUACCGGAGGAAUAAGCCCCGGCUAACUUCGUG
rnacentral:rRNA from 1 species